rnacentral:ncRNA from 2 species
UGGUGCAUGGCCGUUCUUA